UGAAAGUGAUAGGUGUUGUUUGUUGAGAGGCAUGUGGUGUGGAAGAGAUUGGGAUUUGUUAAAAAAUGGAAAGAAAGCACAGGAGCAAACCUGCUUCCUUCUAAGUGAGAAGACUUCAAUAUAUAUAUAAAACCCAUAUGUCUAUUUAAUCACUUACAAGACAUAGGAACAGAUGGAAGUAUCUGCCAGCAGGAUGAUCUCUGCUUUAAUGAGACUUCUCAGUCUUCAAUGGGAGUUGCCCCAGCAAAUUUUUGUUGUCCAACCCAGGGGUUCCCAAACUGUGGACCAUAGACCACCAGUGGUUUGCAAGCCUCAUUCUGGUGGUCCAUGUCUGUGAAGAACAUUCGUCGUUCUUAGAUCUUGGCAGCUCACCUGGAGAGUGAGUGGGACAGUCCGAAAGUGACAGAGGGAGGGGGCAUUCGAAAGAAGCAGAGAGGAUUAGCAGAUAAGUUACUGGAAGGCUAGAAUCCAGAAGUUCAAUCUUUUUUCAAUUAAAAAAAAUCAUAACCAUCUAGCACAGCUAUUGCUACAACAAGCAGAAAAAGAAUUAACUGGUCCAAGACCAUAGGCAAUUUUCAAGUCAUGUCCCUUGAAGUGGACCCUGCACAUCCCCAAAUCCUGAGGCCCAUUGUAGACUCUCAAAAAAUCAAGUUAUAGCAAAGAGACUACUAUGUGGUACUUCAGAUUUAGUUUUUAUAGACAUUUUUUGGAACACAUUUUAAGCUGAGCAACAUGGACGGUAGAAAAGCAUGCUUCCUGAACCUUUGUGCUGGCAACAAAGAAAUGUCAGGUCACCUGCAUGAAAAAGCACAGUAAUGCAGGAAACAUGUUUAACUACCAUCAACAUAUUUCAACCAAUAGGAGAGAUGCUUAAGCAGUGAAAACCUCUUUAAGUGCCUGUGUUGCCCAAAUGUAAUGGGAAAUGAAAGAUACUUUUAUAGUCUCUGUACAUUUCCACCCCCCGGAUGUGGUUUGUAUUGGGGUUGUACUCUACAUCUUGUUUGAAUUACCGUACUUUUCUGUGUAUGACUGUUUUUUUUUACUCUAAAAUAAUGUUAAAAAACGGGAGUCGUCUUAUACACAGGGGUCAUCUUUCCACAUCUUCGUAAAUCUGUGUCCCCCAAAAUUGGGGUCGUGUUAUACAUGGGAAAAUACGGUAUUUCACUUCCGCUGGGGGAGAUUUGUCUAUCAUAACCCAAUCCCUCCAAGAGCACCAGACAAGUCACACUUCAACCUUCUUGCUUUGCUUAAUUGUGCAAUUAUCAGCUUGCAUGAGCAAAAUCUAUUUUUUCUUUGCAACAAUCUACUCCUAAGGAUGUAGUCUGUGCCAGUUCAAAGGUUGCUUUUAGCAUUUUCAAGAGUCCAUUAGUUCUAGUAAUGCGAUCAAUUCACAUGCUGUGUAGGUCUAACAACGCUGUUAAUACAAAAAAAAAAAAAAGUUCACAAUCUUCAUUACAGAAGCCUCUUAUAUCUAUAACAUGCAAAAGGUUUUUGAAUGUAUUGCAGCAGAUAGAAAGGCUUUGUGUUUUGAGUAAAUUAAUACCUGUAAGGUAACUGUAGAUGCUAAACAAGAUGUUCAAAUGACACCUCCGUUUGCCUUUCUAAAUUUGUUCACAUGCCAAAACUUGCAUUUAAUGAAAAAGGACUUGAUUAGCCAUUUGCUCAGUGCAGCCAGGAUAACCAUAGCUAGGGCAUGAAAAUAAUUAUCAAGAGGCAUGGCACCAAGCGCAGCUUAUUGCAUUAUUGGAAAAACUUGCCCAUAAGCUAAGAUGUAUAAAUAGACAACAUAGGUGAGAUGCAUGUAUAGACACAUGGUGUGAUUUUAUUGUUUUCACAAAUAUACCAGAACAUAUUCUGGCUCCACCUAUACACAAUUUGUGGCAGACGUGAAUCAAGUAGCAUUUGACUCCAUGAAAUAUGUCAUACCCACUACCUCCAGGCUUGCUGAGAGAUGAUAAUGAAAUAAUAGUCAAUCAGCACUUCUUCUUCAGAUGUUAUAUUAAAGAAACUGGUCAGAUCCUCUUAAAGGACCCAUUCCAAUAAUAAUUAUAAGAACUGCAUUUAAUUGUAUUUUUUAAUGUGAUUUUCAACAUACUUCUUAAUAUUUUUCCGAUUCUCCUGUUUCCUGUAUCCCUCUCACAUAUUCCCUAGUAAAAUGUUCAUGCUGCUGUUUAUUGUUUUUAUAACAAUCUUUUUUUAAAAAAAAUAAAAAAUGUAAAGACAGGUGUUAGGUGUUUGGAAGAGACUCGGUUGAUGCUGCUAUCAACUGUUGUUUAGUGGUGCUUUGUUGUUUUAAUGGAUUGUGUUCUCUAAAACAAAGAGGAGUAACUGUAGGUUGUGUUCUGUAUCCAUCAGAUUAUGUAAGCAGCAGUUCUGGCAACAGGUUGGACUUUCUGGAAGCUGGGUCCUGGCAUUUUGCAGCACAAUUUGAGCAGCACUGACAGGCUGCAUUAUUUUCAAAAGAACAGUUUUCAGCUAGGCUACAUGUUGACCUCAAGCUGCAUCCAACUGGCACCCCAGAAGCUGCUGGAAAGUUAUUUGAUCCAGUGGAGCCUUCUGUCAGUGGAAAAGGGAUGGAGGUGAUCUUGGGUGGUCCUCCCUCCCUCCUGCAACUGCUGUGACAAGGCCCACAUUAUUCCGGAGUGUUCCACACCCUAUGAGCAAAUUUGGGGCGGCACAGAGGAACUUGCUGGAUAGCUUUGGUCUCUGUUCUGGUGAAGGCUCUGCAGGAUCAAACAGCAUUCAGCGAGUGGAGGGACACAACUGGAUAUAGUGGGUUCACUGUAGCGUUUGACCUGCAAUCUUCUACUAUAGCUCAAGGUAGAAAAGAAAGGUGUGUAGACUCUGCAGAACAAGGUAAUGGAAAUCUGGCUUAUUCCUGGCACUUAAAAAAUAUCAUGCUGUUCUCCUAACAGACUUCUGUUAGAAGAAACCAGCUUAUUACUGAAGCUCCCUUUCAAGUUCUCAUUUUAAUAUUUUGCCAAUACCUGA
rnacentral:lncRNA from 1 species